rnacentral:misc_RNA from 1 species
GAAGUUUUCUCUCCCAUAAGACUUACAGCCAUUGAGAAGUCUGCAUUAUGACAGACAUGAUGGAGACCACUAUGUCUUUCACAUUCUAUGUGCUAUAAGUGGAGGAAGGAAAGAAAGAGGCUCCAAGAUCAUAUUGUGCAUUUUUUGCUGGGACAGUGCCCCUGUCUUCAAGAAUCAGAGUUUUCAUCUGCAACAAUUACAGGACAAUUAGUUUUUGGGGUUUCAUUA